CGGGGGAGGCUGGGUCCUGGGCUGUGUCCCGGCGCCCUGUGCUCCAGGGCCUGCGCUGUUGGAUUUGCGCUCCCGCCCCGCAGCCCCCU
rnacentral:pre_miRNA from 1 species